AGCUUUGCGCUGUGGCGAUAUCGUAACAAUGAGGUUAUACCGAGGUGCGAUCAUUGCUAACUAAAAAAAAACUAUUUAAUAGUGUGUCAAGUUUUCUACAAGGAAUUAUAACAGUUUUAUUCUGAUAAUUGUUUUAU